UACGUAGGCAGCAAGCGUUGUUCGGAAUUACUGGGCGUAAAGCGUGCGCAGGCGGUUGUGCAAGACAGAUGUGAAAUCCCCGGGCUUAACCUGGGAAUUGCAUUUGUGACUGCACGGCUAGAGUGUGUCAGAGGGGGGUAGAAUUCCACGUGUAGCAGUGAAAUGCGUAGAUAUGUGGAGGAAUACCGAUGGCGAAGGCAGCCCCCUGGGAUAACACUGACGCUCAUGCACGAAAGCGUGGGGAGCAAACAGG
rnacentral:rRNA from 1 species